AUAAGCAAAAUAAGGGCGUAUGGGGAAUGCCUAGGCUCUCAGAGGCGAAGAAGGACGUGAUAAGCUGCGAAAAGCUACGGGGAUUGGCACACACGAAUUGAUCCGUAGAUAUCCGAAUGGGGCAACCCAGUAUGUUGAAGACAUACUAUCCAAUAUGGAGGCGAACCCGCUGAACUGAAACAUCUAAGUAGGCGGAGGAGAAGAAAACAAAAGUGAUUCCGUAAGUAGUGGCGAGCGAACGCGGAAUAGCCCAAACCAAAGUUGUUACGGCAAUUUUGGGGUUGUAGGACCACGAGAUUUCUUGCGGAUUUAAUUAGAAUUACCUGGAAAGGUAAACCGAAGAGGGUGAUAGUCCCGUAUAAGUAAGAGAAGAUAAGAAUAGUGGUAUCCUGAGUAGGUCGGGGCACGUGAAACCUUGAUUGAAACUGGCGGGACCAUCCGCUAAGGCUAAAUACUCCUGAGAGACCGAUAGUGAACCAGUACCGUGAGGGAAAGGUGAAAAGAACCGUGAAUAACGGAGUGAAA
rnacentral:rRNA from 1 species